UAAGAGUAUAGCUCAAUGGUAGAGCAGAUGUCUUCAACACAUUUAAUGAUAGUUCGAAUCUAUCUACUCUUGGCC
rnacentral:tRNA from 1 species